rnacentral:rRNA from 1 species
GCUUGUCUCAAAGAUUAAGCCAUGCAUGUCUAAGUAUAAAUCUUUUACUUUGAAACUGCGAACGGCUCAUUAUAUCAGUUAUAGUUUAUUUGAUAGUCCCUUACUACUUGGAUAACCGUAGUAAUUCUAGAGCUAAUACAUGCGUCAAUACCCUUCUGGGGUAGUAUUUAUUAGAUUGAAACCAACCGCUUCGGCGUGAUGUGGUGAUUCAUAAUAACUUUGCGAAUCGCAUAGCUUUAAUGCUGGCGAUGGGUCAUUCAAAUUUCUGCCCUAUCAACUUUCGACGGUAGGAUAGAGGCCUACUGUGGUGAUAACGGGUAACGAAGAAUAAGGGUUCGAUUUCGGAGAGGGAGCCUGAGAAACGGCUACCACAUCCAAGGAAGGCAGCAGG